AUUGUUAAGCCUUUGCUAUAUGUUUUUCAUCGCAGAGUCUUGUAGCUCUAUUUCAAAGAUCUAUGGAUGUACCCGUUCUGGUGUUCAACCUGAUAUUGAUGUGUGAUCAACGGGAAGAUGAGGGUGCAGCUGAAUCAUGUGUGGCUCCGACAGCACGCGGGAGUCGUAUCCACUGGGGCGCAAGCCGAGGGAACGAACCAGAGCGGCGAGCUUGACCUGGGUUUCUUCUCCUCCAGAUGAGCAGCCGGUCCGCUUGACCUGGGUCUCUUCUCCUCCAGAUGAGCAGCCGGUCAUAAGUCGCAUGGUGGUGCUAGACUGGCCCUUGUGCUCCUUCUCAGCUGGGAAUGGGCAAAACGGUCUCCCCUGCUCUCCCACUGGUAUAUUGAUGCUAGCAAGCGCAAUGAUUUGAUGAUAUGCAAUGACACAUAUUGCUUGAUCGACGCGAUCCUUUUUAUGAUCAUGGACGAUGAAAAACUUUAUGGUGGCGACUAGCGGAAAACUUGAAUGGCAACACAACCGGGAAGGAGCUGCUCAGCUGAGCGUCUGCCAAGGCUGCUUCCAUCAGCAACCGUAUAUAAUUUCAGCUUCACGGUGUGUGGGCAUGCUCAAUUCUGCGGAGCACAUCACUACAACCUGGAGAGUUCCAAACACGGUUUACAUUUCAUGCUGUUACAGUCACGCGGUUCAGUAGAUGCUUCUCCAAGUAGUAAGAAACAGGGAUCUCGCCGGGAUAAUACUGCAUCUGCAGUUCAGGGAUCCCAGUGGGUGUCACCGGGAUAAUACUGCAUCUCCCUGAAUUUAUGGAAGUUUCCUUUUCUUUUGCUUUUAAAUUAUAAUGUGCACUUCAUUGCGCAGGAUGGAACUGAGCACGCAGUCAGAAUAUUUUGUACUACCAUUUAGAUUUACACAAAUGUGAUAAGGUUUUUCAGAGUUUAAUUUUCUAGGGCUAUAGUUGAUGCUAAACCCUUCUAGAAUAAGAUGGACAAAGUUCAGACCACUCAUGAAAAGUAUAUUCAUAUUAACAUUAAGAUUUA